AAAAGCAGAUAGCUUGUGCUGGGAGCCAACUCAAGCUUCACAUGGAGGACAACGUUGCCUUUUGCGGGGACACCCACUCUCUUGUGAGCCUGCCGACGCUCCGGGGAUGCAGCUUCUGCUAUGGGGAAUUCUAAGCAUUCUGGGGUUGGUAAGACAACCUCAUGACGGACCAAGGGGGUCUCAGUACCCUGAGCUGGAGGACCAUGACCGUGAGAACGAUCAACUCCCAGUCACCUCUGAAAUUGUUCAGGAUCUGCUGUUCCAGUUGGAUCCCUAUAAAUCUAUGGGGCCUGAUGGGAUUCAUUCCAGAAUCCUCAAAGAGCUGGCUGAUGUCAUCGCAAAACCACUCUCCAUGAUUUUUGAGCAGUCUUGGGAAUCUGAAGAGGUCCCAGCUGACUGGAAGCUGGUGAUCAUUGUCCCAGUUUUCAAGAAGGGCAAGAAGGAGGACCCCAGAAACUACAGGCCUCUCAGUCUCACUUCACUGCCUGGUAGCUAUGGAGAAAAUUAUUCUAGAAAGUAUUGAAAAACACCUGAAAGACAAAGCAGCACAGCCUCAUGAAAGUCCUACUUAUCAAACCUGAUUUCCUUUUAUGACAAGGUAACCCACCUCGUCAAUCAAGGGAAGCCAGUUGAUGUAAUCUUUUUGGAUUUCAGUAAACCUUUCGAUACUGUCUCUCACAGGAUCCUUCCAGACAAACUGUCCAGCACACAGCUGGAUAAACACAUCAUGCGGCCGCUUCAUGAUGACUUUCAAGAUCCCUGGGCGAUUGGUCCCUCCUAUUUGAGCUUGCUGCAUGAUCAGCAUAACCCACUUACUCCACGUAGCAUCAGUGGCAUGACGUGUGGAAGGGACUUUACCUUUGAACGCUCAACUCAGCACUGGCAGUCAGGGUGCCAGGAGGAGCUGUGCUUUGGUGCCAAUCACUUCUGAAGCAGCUCGAACCUCUUCAUAAGCUACCAGGAUCUCUGUUUCAGUUGGGGUGUAGCUGUAGCAGGCCUCAGAUCCUUUGUAUCCCUGACUCCAGAACCCCAGGGGUUGUCCUUGAGUCUCCCUGGUGCUUUUUGCCAGAGACUCCAGGAAGGACCAUUCUCCCUGGCUGCAGUGUAGAGCACAUUUUUCACAUCUUGUCCUGUCCUGACUGACCCAAGGGCUACUGCAUGAACAAUCUCCUGUUUGACUUGUUCAAAAGCUUGUUGUUGUUCAGGACCCCAUUUAAAAUUUUUCUUCUUCUGGGUCACUUGAUAGAGAGGGCUUAAAAUCUGACUGUAAUCUGGAAUAUUCAUCCUCCAAAAACCCACAGCACCUAGGAAAACCUGUUUCCUUGAAUGAAAACAACUUCGUGCAGAAGUGAAGGACUAACAGAACAUGCCUUAACAACUGCAAGUGAGAUACACCAAUACAAGAGGCCUUACCAUCUGACACACCAAGACAAAGGUUUUGGACUGUAAUAAGAAUUCCUGAAAUGGGUCAGGAGUAAGUAAACAAGAAAGACCAAUAAGGAAAAGCUUCUGUCAUGGUUAAGAACUGUUGUAAAAUCAGCCUGUGACCUCCAAAGGUGGUAAUUCAAGAAUCUGAGUAACACUAUCAAAACACCAGACAUUGUAACGACUGUUGUACUUUGUUAUCUUCUGUCCUGUGUUGCUUUUAGGCUUCUUUUACUGUUAGUUUAAUUGCAGCAGAAUUGAAAGCUCAUAUGCUUUUGCUCACUGAUUGCUCUGAAGUUUGCGAUGUUUAUAUUUGUGUAUGUUCUGUCCCAGCAGUUAGGCAGCAUUUUGCGAGCACAGUUUGGAAUAUCUGUGUCUCUUUGACUACUGCAGCUUGUGAAAGAGAUUCCUCCCUGGAUUGGUUUGGUGGGGAAAUCCACAUAGGAUUUUGUGAGAUUGUGAGAUCAAAUUUAUCUACCUUAUGCCUCUAAAAUGCUUUGUCACCCAGUGUCAUCUAGGAGUAUGUGAAGCACUGAGUUUCACAGGAGAAGAGUCCUGUGUUAGGACAGAAAGGGGGAUAAGAAGGUGACUGCAGUACUUCAAAUGAAGGACUGGUUCCAUGGACCCUCCUAUGGGACCCUGAGACCUGGCUCACAUCUUGCCUGCAAUCUUUGAGACAAACUGGUAACAUCAUUAUUGGGAUGAUUUGUUUAGAUUGUUUUAGAUGAUUUGCUGUCACAGUUUGAGAGCCCCGAAAAUCCAAUUUCCAAUUUCCAAGCCCCCCUCCCACAAUUUGCUUCAGUGUGAGAGGGUUUUCAGACAUAACACAGCUACUAAUAUGGGGAAAUUAUAUCAAAAUUUAUUACUACACGAUAAAUACUAUAAUACAUUAUAUACAACAAUUCUAACUAUCUCUCCUAUGGUAAAACAAUAUAUAUGUAUACAGAUCAAAUCCCUCCUUUCCCUCCAAAUAAAAGUUCAGAAAGAAAAGAAGAGAAUCACUUUCAACGCAGCACAAUCUUUUCUCUUCCAAG